rnacentral:rRNA from 1 species
AGAGUUUGAUCCUGGCUCAGGACGAACGCUGGCGGCGUGCCUCAGACAUGCAAGUCGAACGCGAAAGCUCCCUUCGGGGAGCAAGUAGAGUGGCGCACGGGUGAGUAACACGUAGGUAAUCUACCUUUGGAUUGGGAAUAACAACCGGAAACGGUUGCUAAUACCGAAUAAUGCAGCGGCACCUAAUGGUGACAGUUGUUAAAGCGGGGGAUCGCAAGACCUCGCGUCUAAAGAGGAGCCUGCGGCGGAUUAGCUAGUUGGUAGGGUAACGGCUUACCAAGGCGAUGAUCCGUAGCCGGCCUGAGAGGGCGGUCGGCCACACUGACACUGACAUACGGGUCAGACUCCUACGGGAGGCAGCAGUCGGGAAUUUUGGGCAAUGGGCGAAAGCCUGACCCAGCAACGCCGCGUGAAGGAUGAAAUCCCUCGGGAUGUAAACUUCGCAAGAACGGGAAGAAUAAGUCUGCGCAAAUAUCGCAGAUGAUGACGGUACUGUUUGUAAGCUCCGGCUAACUCCGUGCCAGCAGCCGCGGUAAUACGGGGGGAGCAAGCGUUGUUCGGAUUUACUGGGCGUAAAGGGCGCGUAGGCGGCCACCGCAAGUCGACUGUGAAAUCUCCGGGCUUAACCCGGAAAGGUCAGCCGAUACUGCGGGGCUAGAGUGCAGAAGGGGCAACUGGAAUUCUCGGUGUAGCGGUGAAAUGCGUAGAUAUCGAGAGGAACACCUGCGGCGAAGGCGGGUUGCUGGGCUGACACUGACGCUGAGGCGCGAAAGCUAGGGGAGCGAACGGGAUUAGAUACCCCCGUAGUCC